rnacentral:lncRNA from 1 species
AAGUACUAGAGCCGAUUUACGCAAUCAAAUACCACCGGAAGUAGAACAUUUAUGUCGACACCGGUUUCGUAUUUCACGUGAAAUCGGCCGAAAACUGAGAGGUUAUCAACAAAUUAUAAGUUUACGGGUACCAUGAGGAUUUUUCAUGCAUUUAAACGACAGAAGUACAAGCGAACAGAUGACACAUUAAAGUGGCUGCAGAAGCUUGAAAAGUUAGAUAGAGCAGGGACAGUCAAAACUGUGGGAUAAUACUUCUAUGGUGUCCAACAUGUUUAGUCAGGUUGACAGAAGUGAAAGAUGGUCUGACAAUGAUGUACAAAUGAUACUCUUUAACAAGUUUAACAUGUCAUAGAUAUAUACCUGUGAAAUCUUCAGUGUCACUGUUCAGCUAUUGUUCAAGAUCAGUGUCUGUAGCUUGCACAGCUUAGUAUAGAGGAGCCUUCUGAAUCAAUUUUGUUACAUAUUUGCUGUUAUUGUAGGACGCACAUGCAGAGAGCAAUAAGUCCUGUCCAACUGUGCAUGUAAAUGUGAUUCAGAAACUUUGAGAAUAUGUAAACAUUACACUGUUAUAAUUUUCAAAAUACUGUGUCUUGUAGUGUAUCAGUUCUGUUUUGUCUCAGUUUAUAGCACAGUAUGUUCAUAAAUCAAACUUAAGAUCAUAGUUAUCAGUAUUACUAAAAUCAUUAAUUAUUUGUAUGGUGACAAAAUUUAAUUUCAUGCAAUACCACAGUGAAACGUUUGAUAAUUUUUUUUUUAAGUUGUAAGUUUAAAGUUGGCAUAAAUUGUUUUUCUCCUUCAUAAAUCUAAAAAGUGACUGGUCAUUAUAUUUGCAAUAUCAUUUUAGUGUGACAAAGAUUAUAUUGAACUGAAACGCUAAUGUAAAUUUUUGAACUAUUCAAUGCAUUUUCUUAAGUCUUAAAACAUUUGUUUAUCGUACAUGUCAGGGCCAAUAACUCCUCCAUAUUACUUGUGUUUUGUCCUUUUUCGUUUCACUGAAGGAUAGGUAGAGGUAUUGCACAUCCAUUUUUUAGCAUCCUGAUUUUAUAAAGUGUUGUAUGUAAGGUUUUAUCUCGGAAUUAUGUCUCGUCUAAAGGUGGGGAGAGGUAUUGUUUAUGCCUUCUCGUCUGUCCGCAUUAAGCCUGUCUGACUUUAUGGGAAAAGUUGAUGGCCAGAUUUUGAUAAAACUUCACAGGAAUGAUCAGUACCAAGCAUAGUGUUGUGCAUAUCGAUUGCAUGUUUCGUUUCGAUGCACUAAAUUGCAGCCAGAGCUAAAAGUAGAAAAAUCUUGUCAGCUUUCACAGGUCAAAACUACUUAACAGAUUUUGAUGAAACUUCACAGGAGUGAUCAGUACCAAGUAUAUUUUUGCAUAUCACCGACACUUUCCAUUUUGCUAAUUUGCUGCACAAAAUAGCCGCCAUAGCAUAAAGGUAUACAUUGGUGGGAAACAUGUUUUGUCAUAAAAAUACCUAAAACACCUUCCACUUUGUUAAAGAAAAUUGUAUUAAACUUCUUACAAUUGCAAACUGUAAUAAUUUGACAUUAAAUGCACUAGUUACAUAAUUGCAUUUGGCUUUUUUUCGUAAUUAUUGCCCUUUUCUUACCAUAGCAAUAUUUUGUGUAACAUGUUACCUCAUUAAGCAUCAUAAGAUCAGAAAGUUCUGACUCAGAAAUGUUGGCCCUUUUGUACUUGUCAUGAGUAUGUUUUCAGUAUUUUAUAUUGUCAUUACUUUUUGUUGUGCGAGUUUACGAAAUGAAGACUUAGUUGUCCAAAUGGUGUGCCUGUGCCUGUCCUGAUUUGUUUGUCUGGACAAUAUAUUAUUGAUUAGUCUUCACGAAACUUCCCUGUCAACUUUGAUAGUGGCAUGGUUACUUU